rnacentral:tRNA from 1 species
AGGAGAAUAGUUAAUAAUAACAUUUUUAUUGCAUAAAAAAAGUAUUGAAAACAAAUCAAUUUCUCUUA